rnacentral:tRNA from 1 species
GCGCAGUUAGCUCAGCUGGAUAGAGUGUCGGCCUCCGAAGCCGAAGGUCACUGGUUCGAAUCCAGUACUGCGCA